UGCUUCAGAGUAAACAAAGAGAGAGGGAUCACACUUGCUGGAGGAAAAUUUUAAAUGAAGAGUUGCUUUGAGCUUGUCAAACCAAGCUCUGGGGGCUUGUUUUAAGCCAUUAAUGGCUUUGUGAAGUCUUCACACAAGCUGUUUGUUGGAGGACUCAGCCUGGAGGUUGAGUCAUGAAUUCCUCUUGAAGAAUUCCAUUGAGGAAAGCAUUGUUGACAUCCAGCUGCUGUAGUGGUCAGUUAUAUGUGAGAGUGAGAGAAUUAACCUGAUUGUGACAGGUCUAAUGGCAGGGGAAAAGGUUUCAUUGUAGUCAUAUCCUAGCUGUUGGUAAAAGCCCUUGGCAACGAGCCUGGUUUUGUACUUAUUUACUUGCAGCCAAUGCCUUUCCUGGAAGGGGGUCCAGGGGCAAGUCAACUAAGAUCCAAGUGCCAUUUCUGAGCAGUGCAUCAUACUCGACCUUCAUUGCUGCAAGCCAAGUUAGGUUUGAAAGGGCAGAUUUGAUGGUUUUGGGUUCAAGGUGAGUGAGAAGUAAUGUUGGAUUAAGCCUUGGCUUAACAAUUCCAGACUUGGCACAGGUACACAUUGAGUGAACAUUGUCAAGUAUCAACUAUAAGUAGGAGCAAUAACAGUGUUAAAUAUAUAUAUUGUAGAGAGCUGUAUUGUGUAGACAGCUGUGUAGGUAAAAGGCUGUUUUGAGUGUGUGUGUGAGGUUGAGUGUGUAUUAAGUUUUAUGUGUUGUCAUGUUGAGUGUGAGGGAAGCUGAGUAUCUAAUCCUUAUCCAAAGGCAGCUUAUCUCCUCUCUCUCUUUCUGUUUUAUAUAUAAAUAUACAAGCAGUGGCUGAGAAAUAAAAAAAAUAAAAAGAUAGCUCAGCACUUCUCUAUUGUAUUGUGUAACUCAAAUUUCUCAGCAAUGUAGUCACUUCAUUUUCAACAUGGUAUCAGAGCAGGAACGAUCCCGUUCUGACCUGCUCUGGCCGCCAGCCGUCGUCCUCCGUCCGCUGUCCGCCGCCGCCGCUGCCACCUCCGGCCGCUGUCUGCCGUCGUCAAAUUUUCCGGCGAAACCAGGGUUGUGUGCGCCUCGAGGUGCGCGACCCACCCCUGCAAGUCACGUGAGCAGCAGCGCCACCACGCGCCACCACAGCAACGCAUCAUUUCCAGCGCGUGAAGCCCAUGUGCCGCCUUCCAACCGUCGGAAUGUCACCGGACCACCUCCAGUCACUUCGUCGGCCAGUCCUGGGUACAGUCCAGCCCUUGUUUUUUUAAUUUUGACCACCUGGAACGUGUCAGCCUCGUGUUCCCUCCUUUUUUCUCUAUUAGGGUUUCGUCUCUUUGGUCAGAAAUGACUUCUUCCGGCCCUGUGUACCCAGUUUUAACAGCUUUGUAGUCUCCUUCUGGGCACAUUUCAGUCCCUGUUUUCGGUAUUGAUAGCUUGAUAGUUCCAGCCCUUGUGUUCCCUUCUCCUUCUCCAUUAGGGCUUCGUCUUUUGACCAGAAAUGGCUACUUCCGGUCCUGUGUUUUCCUUCUCUGCUGUCAGCCACUGUCUCUACUGGGCAGGUGUGAUCAUCUUCCGCUGUUUUUGCUGCUUCUCGUCGUCUACCAUUGUCAGUCACCAUCGUUGUCUGCUCAAACCUCCUCUUUUGGCCCUUCCUCUUUGUCUUCAGAACUGUGGCAUGUUCUGGUCCUGUUUAAGGCUUCUUUUAGUUUGUCUCUCUUAACCCUUUGUUGUGCAGCUCCAUUGUCUCAUGUCCUUCUAUUUAUCUGUUGUGUGGUCUGCUGAUUAAUAUAGCUGUCCCCAGGGUUCGAUCUGGUCAAGAACCCUACUUUAGGUCAUUUGUUGAUCCUGUUGUCUAGCAACUUCUUGCUUGUCUUUGUCCUUGAAGUAAUUGUUGUCCUUGGGGUUCAAUCUGGUCACGAACCCUACUUUAGGUCAUUUGUUGAUCCUGUUGUCCAGCAACUUCUUCCUUGUCUCUGUCCUUGAAGUAAUUGCUGUCCUUGGGGUUCAAUCUAGUCAAGAACCUCUACUAUUAAAAAAAAAAGUCAUUAAGUUUCUAUCCAUGGUGGUUAAGCAUUGAUGUCAAGCUUCUACCAUGGAUGAUUAAACAUUGUUGUGUUGCUUCUUCCUUUAUAGUGGUUAAGCAUUCAAAAAUUGUGUUUUUCUUCUGUCUUGAGUGGUUAAGCACCAUGUUUAGCUUCUGCUCUUGAUGGUUAAGCUUUGGUUUGCUUCUACCUUUUAGGUGGUUAAGUGUGUUUGCUUCUGUUAAGUGGUUAAGCAUUGUGUUGUGGCUUCUACUUAAUGGUUCAACAUAUUCCAAUUGUCUUUGAAUGUUUUUCAGUCAUUUUCAAUCUGCUGCCAAUGUGUUUCCGGCAUGUUUCAUUGUCUAUUUUUCUACUUGUAUUGUUCAUCCCAAGCUGGAAGUGUUGACUCCACCUUCCAUCUCGUGAGGGGGAGUGUGUUGUCUCCUAAUCAGUACUAAUCACUUUGAAGUCCAGCCCUGCAGCAAGUGCAGCUUUUGUUUCUGGGAAUUUGUUGUUUCCUUCUUCAAGUCCUGCCACAUCUUUUGAACUUGGCACCCCUGCUUCCUCUUCGGUGGUCUACUCUGUUAGCUCCAAUGUGGUCCAAGUUCUACUUUAGUUGGCAGCCCACUAAGUCUGCAUUUGGUUCCACAUUUAGUACAUCAUCGUCAUCCACUGUGUUUGUUACUUCUGCCAGUUCUCCAGUGCAUCAACUCCUCAAUUUUCAUUUACUCCGGCAGCAGCAGCCUCUACCUCCACACAAGCCAGCAACCUGCCCCAGUUCAAUCAAAUUUUGUAUUUGGGAGCAUCAACUCCAUCAGGAGGCAGUCCUUUCCAGUUUGGUGGUGCAGCUUGAGAUGCUUCAGUUCAUGUUCCAAGCUUGGAGCAUUUAAUUUAUAUGCUCCAGCUUGAGGGGGAGUGUUAAAUAUAUAUAUUGUAGAGAGCUGUAUUGUGUAGACAGCUGUGUAGGUAAAAGGCUGUUUUGAGUGUGUGUGAGGUUGAGUGUGUAUUAAGUUUUAUGUGUUGUCAUGUUGAGUGUGAGGGAAGCUGAGUAUCUAAUCCUUAUCCAAAGGCAGCUUAUCUCCUCUCUCUCUUUCUGUUUUAUAUAUAAAUAUACAAGCAGUGGCUGAGAAAUAAAAAAAAUAAAAAGAUAGCUCAGCA
rnacentral:lncRNA from 1 species